rnacentral:rRNA from 1 species
GCAGUCGAACGAGUUCUGAUUAUUGAAAGGUGCUUGCAUCUUGAUUUAAUUUUGAACGAGUGGCGGACGGGUGAGUAACACGUGGGUAACCUGCCCUUAAGUGGGGGAUAACAUUUGGAAACAGAUGCUAAUACCGCAUAAAUCCAAGAACCGCAUGGUUCUUGGCUGAAAGAUGGCGUAAGCUAUCGCUUUUGGAUGGACCCGCGGCGUAUUAGCUAGUUGGUGAGGUAACGGCUCACCAAGGCAAUGAUACGUAGCCGAACUGAGAGGUUGAUCGGCCACAUUGGGACUGAGACACGGCCCAAACUCCUACGGGAGGCAGCAGUAGGGAAUCUUCCACAAUGGACGCAAGUCUGAUGGAGCAACGCCGCGUGAGUGAAGAAGGCUUUCGGGUCGUAAAACUCUGUUGUUGGAGAAGAAUGGUCGGCAGAGUAACUGUUGUCGGCGUGACGGUAUCCAACCAGAAAGCCACGGCUAACUACGUGCCAGCAGCCGCGGUAAUACGUAGGUGGCAAGCGUUAUCCGGAUUUAUUGGGCGUAAAGCGAGCGCAGGCGGUUUUUUAAGUCUGAUGUGAAAGCCCUCGGCUUAACCGAGGAAGUGCAUCGGAAACUGGGAAACUUGAGUGCAGAAGAGGACAGUGGAACUCCAUGUGUAGCGGUGAAAUGCGUAGAUAUAUGGAAGAACACCAGUGGCGAAGGCGGCUGUCUGGUCUGUAACUGACGCUGAGGCUCGAAAGCAUGGGUAGCGAACAGGAUUAGAUACCCUGGUAGUCCAUGCCGUAAACGAUGAAUGCUAGGGGUUGGAGGGUUCCGCCCUUCAGUGCCGCAGCUAACGCAUUAAGCAUUCCGCCUGGGGAGUACGACCGCAAGGUUGAAACUCAAAGGAAUUGACGGGGGCCCGCACAAGCGGUGGAGCAUGUGGUUUAAUUCGAAGCAACGCGAAGAACCUUACCAGGUCUUGACAUCUUUUGAUCACCUGAGAGAUCAGGUUUCCCCUUCGGGGGCAAAAUGACAGGUGGUGCAUGGUUGUCGUCAGCUCGUGUCGUGAGAUGUUGGGUUAAGUCCCGCAACGAGCGCAACCCUUAUGACUAGUUGCCAGCAUUUAGUUGGGCACUCUAGUAAGACUGCCGGUGACAAACCGGAGGAAGGUGGGGAUGACGUCAAAUCAUCAUGCCCCUUAUGACCUGGGCUACACACGUGCUACAAUGGAUGGUACAACGAGUUGCGAGACCGCGAGGUCAAGCUAAUCUCUUAAAGCCAUUCUCAGUUCGGACUGUAGGCUGCAACUCGCCUACACGAAGUCGGAAUCGCUAGUAAUCGCGGAUCAGCACGCCGCGGUGAAUACGUUCCCGGGCCUUGUACACACCGCCCGUCACACCAUGAGAGUUUGUAACACCCGAAGCCGGUGGCGUAACCCUUUUAGGGAGCGAGCCGUCUAAGGUGGGACAAAUGAUUAGGG